AUCCAGUUGACGAGUCCCAAAUAGGACGAAAAACAUGUCCUGGAU
rnacentral:hammerhead_ribozyme from 1 species